rnacentral:tRNA from 1 species
GCCGAGUUAGCCAAGGUGGUCACGGCGGGAGUCUGAAAAACUUCAGAUCACAGUUCGAUUCUGUGACUCGGCACCC